GGGGCUCGGUACCCUCCGACGCGGGAGCGGAAGACGGCCUCGGGCCGCCCGCUCAGCCUAGGGAGCGGCUUCCGCCGCGGGGCUCUUUUGCGUCAAUCUAAUCAGCCCCGAAGGGCUGGCACCGAAAAGCCGCCCCUCCCCUUCGCCCUAGAGCAACAGCGCGCCAGCGACCUCACCCUUUCCACCCAGGCAAGGGAUUCCCGUUGGCUUCCGACGUCUGAGGGAGCCAGUUCCACUGGACUGAGGAAGAAAAACCUAUUGAACCCUUCCAGAACUAAGGGUCUCACUAUGCAGCUCAGUCUGGCCUUCAGCUUACUUUGGAGCCCAGAACUGGGGAUUGAACUCAGGCCCUUGUGCUUGCC